GGGCUAGGGGUUAGGGAUUAGAGGUUAAGAUCAGUUAUGGAUUUAGGGUUUUUGGAUUUAAGGGUUAGAUGUUAGGGGUUAGGUUUAGAUUAAUUAGUGUGUUUUAAUUUAUAUAUUAAAUAAUGUUUAAGGGUUAGGGAUUUUGGGUUGGGUUAGGGUUUAGGGAUUAGGGAUUUAGGGUCGGGUUAGGAUUUAAGGUUUAUGGGUUAAGAUUUAGAGGUUUAAGGGUUUAGGGGUUAAGAGUUAAGGAUUUAGAGUUUAGGGUUUCAUGGGUCGAGUUAGGGUUUUGGGUUUAAAUUAAUUUUUUUAUUUAUAUUUUAAAUAUGUUUUUAAAUUUAU
rnacentral:lncRNA from 1 species